GCCCCUGCCCCAAAAUUCAACAAGGUCUAUAUUUUCUCAUUUUUAUUGGUAUUAUUUGAAAGGAGGAAGAAUCAACUUUUUAUUCAAUCAGCUUCCACUUCAUUAUGAUUUUUUGGCUCUGACAUAGGACAGUUUUUUUUGUUUGUUUUCUGUUUUUUACGUUUACCCUCAUUUUUGUCAUAUUUUAUUUUUUUCUGUGGAGAACCAGCCAUGGGAAUUGGUUUUCAGCAAUGGACACCUGACCUGACCAAAGCCAAUAAAUCAUGAGACUUUUGCUGAGACUUCAGAGAGGUGGGAUGUGGAGGGGAGAGGACAUGAGGAUGGAGCUGCCAAAGCCAUCCUGCCACUGUGAAGCACAAGACUAAGGCCAACACAGCAGAAAGGGCAAAGGGCUGGAAAGAAGCUAAGUCCUGAUGGAGGCUUUCUGAAGUCUGAAUCCCAGCUGUCCGUGAGACCAGUCCUGCUUUUCAUUUCAUGAGUCAAUCACUGUAUUUCUUGCCUAAGUCAUCCAUUAGCACAGCUGUCAGCCUUGGAUUGCCAUUGAGUCAACCCCAUUCCUCCACCUGGCCUUGCACUCCAGUUUCACGACUAGCCUAGUUAGGAAGGAUGUGCUCAGGGGAAGUGCAGUUUAAUGUGGUUUCUAGGAUAUUCUUUCCAGGGUAAAGGGGGGCAGAGGAAGAAAAAAAUAAUCAACCUCUUCCAUUUAUUUUCAUUAAUCAGAGUCCUUGAUCUGACAAUUAGCCUAAUCAUAUUUUUACUGUCCUGUCUUCACUAAGGUCAUGAAUGUCAAAAUAUAAAAGAUCAAAGUAUGCAGAAAUCACUUCAAACUUCAUAAAUAAUGCUUGUGAUUUUUUUCAUAUGCAAGUCUAAUGAAAAUUGAGAAAACGAUGUGUGCAUUUCAUAGUUAUUCUCUUCUGGACAUGCCAACCUCGGUCUUAAAAUUGAAGACUAUAUUUAAUGACUUAGAGGUUCAAAUGUAAGUCAUAAAUUAAAUUGCAUCUGGUAAGGUGUACCUUACAUUCUGCUUCUUCAUUAUGAGACCAUAUAACCCAAUUCUUUGAUUUAUAAAUAUUUCCACUUUAAUAAGUCAUGACGCAAAUAAUCUUUCUCCAAACCUCUUGUUUCAAGACAUCCAACUUACUGCACCACAAAAUAGUAAAUCUCAGGCUCAGAACUCCUUUCUUUGCCAAGAAUUAUACUAGUGAAGUUGUUCCUUGCCUCAAUUAAAACUUACACUUGUUUAGAAAGGGCAAGAGCAUAACUUCCACAUAUAUGUUUAAGUUCCACAUCUAACAUUGUAUAGGAAUAAACCAGAUUCCACCAACUUUCUGUGUUGACACCCACAGGCAGUGCAGAUUGCAUCCUGGGAAAAAGAACAAGGGCCUGGCUCUAUGCCCAGCUGUACAUACUAGCUGUGUGGCCUUAGCAGGUUGUGUAUAAUCUCUCUAAGCCUCUGUUUCUUCACAUAUGAAGUACUGACCUUAUACUUUAUAGAUUGUAAUAUCAACUUUAUGGCUUUAUUGGGGACUUGAAAUGAGGUGGUGUAUGUAAAGCACAUAGUAGGCAUUCAGUGUUCAUUACCAGCUACUACUUAAGGUAAUAAUUGCCCUUCAUAAUAGAAACAUUCAUAAUUCAUAAAUGUCCAUUUCCUACCAGUUGUCAACAUACAUGCUAUGUUGCUGUAAACCUUGCAUAAUUAUAAAAUUAAAUUUCCAUCUUUCAUAAAUUGAAAUGUAACAUCACGCUAAAGCUACUGAAAUGUCUGAUUCUGCCACUGACUGGUUGUAGAACUCGGGACAAACGUAAUCAAUUUGUGGCUUUGCUUCUGCGUUUGUAAAAUGACAAGAUUGGGCUGUUCUAAAUGAAUUUUAGUGCCUCUUCCAACUUUACCAUUCUUCUGAGUCUUAUAUGUCAGUUAAAUGGCUGUUUAAUAUAUACGAGUCAUCAUGGGAUAAUUGCAUGUUUAUCGUAAAGAAACCCAAACUCCUCUCGGAGGAAGACAAACUGUUGACAUCUAAAAUUAGUCUCUCAAAUAAUAUUACCUCAUGAAAGAAAAAGAAGUGAUGGUAGUACAAUUCAUGCUCAGAUUUUGUAAUUUGGGAAAUCUCUAAAAAUUGAGAGAUGUAAGAGGUGAUGACAGAAUAAUUCAUAUGCUCACAUUUUGUAAUUUUGGAAAUCUCUAAAAAUUAUUCUCAAAGGUAGAAAGUGAAAUUGAAUUUAGGGACAUAGAGAUACUCACGGAAAAGUAUGUAGCAGAACACACCAUUAGGUCUACAAUCUGCAACUCCAUAUAUAAAUAAGCCUCCAAACCCAUGUUGCCUUAGUUAUUGGAAAUCCGAAUGACUGACAUAUUUCUAUUUUUCUAGAAAUGCAAAACAGACUUGUGUAAUUAACCAUUCCUUUGGUAUUUAUUUUGAAACCAACUGUGCAUUUCUUGGCCUCUUCACAUACAAAUAAUGCCAACGCCUACGCAGUUCCACAGAAUUCUUGAGCAGUUCUCACUCACUCUGCCCAUUUUUUUCUUGCCCCCCUCUCCAUUACCUCAUAAAUGGUGAACAUUUCAGAAAUAACGAUCCCAUUAGAAGAAGGUCUCUACAUGUCGCCUGUAAGGCUUGAGAGGAAAAACUCAAAAGAUGCCUUCACAUAAAAGUGGGAAAGGGAGCAGAAAUGAAAUUUCUAAUGGACAUAGCAACACAAGAAAGCGCUGUGCAUGAAGAACCCAGCUUCUCUCUGACAGAUGGUACGCCAUGCAUGCAGCUAGAUGAGCAGCGUUCAGGGGCUUGCUCCAUUGCAAAUACAGAAACAAUAAAAAUGCAUGUUGAUUUUUAAACAGAUGUGUAAUUAAGUAUGACAUUCUGAUAGAGGUUUACCAAGGCAGAACAGCUGGAUUUGAGGAGUCCUAAUAUGGGAUACUGUUUAAGUUAUUUAAAUGUGAUUCCUAGGAUGGCAAAACUUCAAGAACUUCAACUUGUCUGUGUGUGUGUGUCUUUGUGUCUGUGGGUUUAUGUCUGUGUGUGCAUGUGUGAAUACGACUGGAUCUAUGGCUUAAGGUGGUGCAUACCCAGCUGAAAUUUUCUUGGAGCUUAGAAAAGCAAAGGUUGCAACCCUUAUACUCAGUUGCCCUGGGCAAGCAAGAAAAAUAUGUCAAGACCCAGGUCUUGCUGUUAAGGCUGGAGUUGAGAAAUGCCCUCCAAAUGCCUUCAAGUCAACAUUAGCUAUGACAGAAGCAAGACUAUUAUUUAACAAUAGCAGCAAACGUCAAAAACAAACUGUGCCUGGCAUUUUGACAAGACACUACUGAAAGAGAACCACUUUUUCAGCACUUGUGUAACCGUGGGGGAGAACUUGACAAUUAAUAUCCUGAGGUCUGGUAACAGGAUUUCCAGGCUGCUUGGUGGUUUCCUUCUGAUACAAAUGAAAGGAGUAGGCAAGUGGAGGACAUGGGCAAAAAUAAUCCGAAACAAUGAGGCCUAGAGAAAAGGACUGAUACAUCAGAAAUCAGGUACCUUGUGGCUAAUUAAAAUGUAACUCCUCCCUCAGGAGACUGCACUCUCACGGUGGUGACACUAUAAAGUAUGAGGACAGAGCCAUCAUCCCUAGGUGAAAAUAAGAUGCUGACAAAAUCUAUCUCCUACCUCCCAUCUCCUUUCCUCGCUCUCCAGCAGACUCAUGCCAUCCUGCGGCACCCUACCUAAGCUUCCCUCCAUGGAAGCAGCCCCUGCCGGAACUGGCCAAACCCUCAUCCCUGCCGUCAAUCAAUCAAUUAAUCAGUAUAAUAACAACCAGCCAGUUUCUGUCCUAUGUCCUUAAGAAUUUGCUCCCUGUUAACUAACCGAUGAGUGGAGCUGUGGCAAGGUGUCAGCAAGCACAGUGAUUCGUGUACUAUGCUUCCUCUCAUUUUGACAGAAACAUUAGGGAAGCAACCUAAUCCAAAGUAAAUGCCAAUGUGCUGGCUCCACACUCAUGCUUUGAAGUGAAUGAGGAGAGAGGGAAAGGAACCAAUACUUCACUGGAAAGCCCUUAUGAGCUAAGCCUUUGAAAUGUUAUCACAGUUAAUGUUAACAGCCCUCAGACAAAAGUGGUAUUGUGUCUCCAUCUUACAGGUAGCAACCUGAAGUUUAGAAAGCAUGAGGAACAUGCCCAGCGUCCCAGUCUGCGAGUAACUCACCCAGAGUUAAAGCCUGCGUUCUCUCUCUCCCACAGCUGACUCUUCCCUGGCUCUCUCCACCACAACCCAAGAUCACACACCUUGAUCAGACUCAGAAUGUUCUUUUUCUUUUUCUUUUUUGAGACGCAGUUUCACUCUUUUUGCCCAGGCUGCAGUGCAAUGGCGUGAUCUUGGCUCACCGCAACCUUCGCCUCCCAGGUUCAAGUGAUUCUCCUGCCUCAGCCUUCCGAGUAGCUGGAAUUACAGGCAUGUGCCACCAUGCCUGGCUAAUUUUGUAUUUUCAGUACAAACAGGGUUUCUCCAUGUUGGUCAGGCUGGUCUCAAAUUCCCGACCUCAGGUGAUCCGCCUGCCUCGGCCUCCCAAAGUGCUGGGAUUACAGGCGUGAGCCAACGCGCCCGGCCUUCUUUUUACAUAAGAGCCUGGCAAUGAUGCUUUUUAAUAAAGGGAACACCAGGAACUGUGGUGGGUGUGGCAGUCUUACUUGCAGGCCUCCUAAAAGGAACCCCCAUGGACAGCUGUAGAUCCUGCCUGAGAAGAAACAUGAGUACAGGAGCCAUUUAAAUCCUCAAAGAGAAGCCAAUCCCUAUGUUUUAGAAGUCCUCCCUUCCACCCACUUCCUCUACCUGCGACUUUACUACCACCAGACCAGACUUUCGGUUCUUGAGAGAACAUGCACGAAUCUGUCCACGUGGGUUUCCUGUCCAUACCAUCCAAGGAGAAAGGCCUUGGCCUCCUCCAGCUGGGUCUGCUCCUUCCUUUGAACCCCAUCGGUACCUAUGCCCACACCUUUCAGAGCUUUCCUGAUCAGUGUCAACAUGCUGCUCUUCCUCUUACAAAAUGUACCAUCAAUACAGCCCAGGCACAUGGCUCCCACAAAGCUAGCCACUUAUAUAGUAUGGGUCACAUCAAAAAUGACUCCAGCACAAUCAUUCAUACAGACUUCUCUCACACUAAACCUUUAAACAAGGUGAGAAGUCAAAACCUGUGAAGACUGUCUCUUUUCAGCUGGGUGCAGUGGCUCACUCCUGAAAUCUCAGCACUUUGGGAAGCUGAGGUAGGAGGAUUGCUUGACCUCAGGAGUUUGAGACCAGCCUGGGCAACAUACUGAGACCCAGUCUCUACAAAAAGUAAACAAAAGUAAACAAAAUUAGCCAGGCACGCACCUGAGGUCCCAGCUACUAGGGAGACUGAGGUGGGAGGACUGCUUGCCCUGGCUGAAGGUUGAGGCUGUAGUGAGCCAUGAUCACACCACUGCACCACUGCACUCCAGCCUGGGUGUCAGAGGAAGACUCCAUCUCUCAAAAAAAAAAAAAAAAAAAAAACCUAUCUCUUUCCUAUCUGUCAGAUUUCCACAUGGGUCUGGGUCUCUGGAAGCUGCAGCAGGACAGAACAUCUGCUAUGGAAAGGGGCUUGAGGUCCAAGUCAAGGUCAUUCCCAGGCUUUCUAGAAAUGCUUUUUAUUAACUUUCUAAACAAACUCAGACUCCAGAGUGGAGGAACACAUUCAACAUGAAUACGUCUACAAAGUCUUACACUUUUCUACUAAAAAGCUAAGAUUGCAUUCCUAUCAGCAAUGCCCACAAUGCCAAGUCACUUAUUCUAAGCGACGGCAUUGGAAUUCCGUCAGAAAUGCAUAUGCAACAUGAGGCAGGAGCGUCAGCGAAGGGACUUUCAGGGACAGCAGACAGGUCUGUGGUGAUGAGGAAAGUCUUUGGUCAUUGGAGUGAAGUCAAACCAGGGUUUGAAACUCUGCUGUGCCACCCAGAAAAAUGUGGAUGUUGGCAGCCGUAAAAUGGCGUCAAUACCCACAGACGUGUGCUGGGGACAUUCCCAGGAGGCACCAGGAAGACACCUGGUUCAUUCCCUCCCACACAUUUCUCCUUCUAGGCGAGAGGAAAAGAUGAAAGUGAAUCCCUUCCUUCUUUCUCACCACUCCAAGACUUAGACACAAAGUUUACACUUUAGGUAAAGACCAUAAUUUUGUUUUAAACUUUGCCACCAAAAACUAUUUUCUUAUAGUCAUGUUCACUAUCAAUCACUAAGGGAGUAAAGUAUUCUAUUGUGAACAGAGCACCGCAAAACGUUUUACAACUGUGGCAGACAUUACCAGGGAUCACCAAUAUUUGGUUCUCCUCUCCCUUUGGAGGAGGGGUUACACAUCCCAGCCCCCUUGCAGUUAGGGCCACAGGAUUAGUUCUGGCCAAUGUGUGGAGCAGAAGUGCAGUACAUUCCUUCUAGGCCCAAGCAGAGAAGAGUGAGUUUGAGAACCCAUGCCCAUUCUUCCCCUGCCUUGGCAAGCGAGUGAGGCUGCCUGUCUGCAGUGGGGCACAGUCUCCCACAAACCAGACUGUACAUGUCACGUAAGUGGGAAAUAAACCCGGUUAUUGUAAAGCCAAGUUACAAAUCAAUGAAAACAAGCUGCCAUUUCAAAAUCAGAUUACCAAACAAUAUUUAAGGAUCACUAACUUAUUCUUUCUGGGGAAAAAAGCUGAACCAAACUCAACUCUAGUAUGAAUUUUACACACAUUCUGGGAAGACACGCUUCAACAUGCCCUGACGUGCCUUCUCAAGGACAGACAGGAUCUUGAUAUGCACUAGGAUCUGGGACUUUGAAAAUUCCAC
rnacentral:lncRNA from 10 species